GGGCCUACGGGAGGCAGCAGUGAGGAAUAUUGGUCAAUGGGCGCGAGCCUGAACCAGCCAAGUCGCGUGAGGGAUGACGGCCCUACGGGUUGUAAACCUCUUUUGUCGGGGAGCAAAUUCCGCCACGCGUGGCGGAGUCGAGAGUACCCGAAGAAAAAGCAUCGGCUAACUCCGUGCCAGCAGCCGCGGUAAUACGGAGGAUGCGAGCGUUAUCCGGAUUUACUGGGUGUAAAGGGAGCGUAGGCGGCCUGGCAAGCCUGAUGUGAAAUACCGGGGCCCAACCCCGGGGCUGCAUUGGGAACUGC
rnacentral:rRNA from 1 species